AUUGAACGCUGGCGGCAGGCCUAACACAUGCAAGUCGAGCGGAUGAAGGGAGCUUGCUCCUGGAUUCAGCGGCGGACGGGUGAGUAAUGCCUAGGAAUCUGCCUGGUAGUGGGGGAUAACGUCCGGAAACGGGCGCUAAUACCGCAUACGUCCUGAGGGAGAAAGUGGGGGAUCUUCGGACCUCACGCUAUCAGAUGAGCCUAGGUCGGAUUAGCUAGUUGGUGGGGUAAAGGCCUACCAAGGCGACGAUCCGUAACUGGUCUGAGAGGAUGAUCAGUCACACUGGAACUGGGACACGGUCCAGACUCCUACGGGAGGCAGCAGUGGGGAAUGUUGGACAAUGGGCGAAAGCCUGAUCCAGCCAUGCCGCGUGUGUGAAGAAGGUCUUCGGAUUGUAAAGCACGUUAAGUUGGGAGGAAGGGCAGUAAGUUAAUACCUUGCUGUUUUGACGUUACCAACAGAAUAAGCACCGGCUAACUUCGUG
rnacentral:rRNA from 1 species